rnacentral:rRNA from 1 species
GGGUUGUGAGGUUAAGCGACUAAGCGUACACGGUGGAUGCCCUGGCAGUCAGAGGCGAUGAAGGACGUGCUAAUCUGCGAUAAGCGCCGGUAAGGUGAUAUGAACCGUUAUAACCGGCGAUUUCCGAAUGGGGAAACCCAGUGUGAUUCGUCACACUAUCAUUAACUGAAUCCAUAGGUUAAUGAGGCGAACCGGGGGAACUGAAACAUCUAAGUACCCCGAGGAA